AUUGAACGCUGGCGGAAUGCUUUACACAUGCAAGUCGAACGGUAACAGGUCUUCGGAUGCUGACGAGUGGCGAACGGGUGAGUAAUAUAUCGGAACGUGCCCAGUCGUGGGGGAUAACGUAGCGAAAGUUACGCUAAUACCGCGUACGAUCUAUGGAUGAAAGCGGGGGAUCGCAAGACCUCGCGCGAUUGGAGCGGCCGAUAUCAGAUUAGGUAGUUGGUGGGGUAAAGGCUCACCAAGCCAACGAUCUGUAGCUGGUCUGAGAGGACGACCAGCCACACUGGAACUGAGACACGGUCCAGACUCCUACGGGAGGCAGCAGUGGGGAAUUUUGGACAAUGGACGCAAGUCUGAUCCAGCCAUUCCGCGUGCAGGAUGAAGGCCCUCGGGUUGUAAACUGCUUUUGUACGGAACGAAAAGGUCUCUCCUAAUACGAGGGGCUCAUGACGGUACUGUAAGAAUAAGCACCGGCUAACUACGUGCCAGCCGCCGCGGUAAGAC
rnacentral:rRNA from 1 species